UGCUUAUCUACUUGCCAAUUAGUGGGGGAUUAAAUACCGCAUACUCUGACUUCGGUCAGGAAAGGGUUCCGCAAGGGCCCGCUAAUUGAGAGGGAUAAGGCGUAUUAGCUAGUUGGUGGGGUAAUGGCCUACCAAGGUAAUGAUGCGUAGCCGGCCUAAGAGGGUGAACGGCCACAAGGGAACUGAGACACGGUCCCUACUCCUACGGGAGGCAGAAGGAGGAAACAUUUCGCAAUGGACGCAAGUCUAACGGAGUGAUACUACGUGAAGGACGAAGGUCUACGGAUUGUAAACUUCUUUACUAGUAGGUACUGCUUUCGGGCUUGCCUGCUAGCAAAAAGUCACGACUAACUAUGUGCCAGCAGUCGCGGUAAGACAUAGGUGGCAAACGUUAUCCGGAAUUACUGGGCGUAAAGGGUGCGUAGGUGGUUUAAUAAGUUACUGGUGGGAAAUCGGGGCCCAACCCCGUGGAAGUCAGUAAUACUAUUAAACUAGAGGGCCGGAGAGGUUAACGGAAUUCUAUGUGUAGCGGUAAAAUGCUCAAAUAUAUAGAGGAACACCAAUUGGCGAAGGCAGUUAACUAUUCGGCGCCUGACGUUGAGGCACGAAAGCGUGGGGAGCAAGACGGAUUAGAUACCCGAGUAGUCCACGCCCUAAACGAUGAGUACUAGAUAUUGGGAACUUGAUUUUCAGUGUCGCAAGAUAACUCGGUAAGUACUCCGCCUGGGUAGUACGGUCGCAAGGCUAAAACUCAAAGGAAUUGACGGGAACUCACACAAGCAGUGGAGCAUGUGGUUUAAUCCGAUAUGACGCGUAGAACCUUACCGGGGCUUGACAUGUUCGGCAAAACUAGGGAAACCUAGCGGAGGUUAUCCGGACACAGGUGUUGCAUGGCCAUCGUCAGUUCGUGUUGUGAGAUGUAUGGUUUAGUCCUAUUAACGAACGAAACCCUUGUGCUUAGUUGCUAACAGGUAAGGCUGAGGACUCUAAGCAGACUGCCAAGGCAACUUGGAGGAAGGCGAGGAUCACGUUUGAUCGUC
rnacentral:rRNA from 1 species